UCUGGUAACUCAAUUAAUUCUUCCCCAACAUUUUCAAUGAGUGAGCAAACUUCAGAGUAUUGUCGAGAAACUAAUUCAUUAACAUUUUUGAGUGGCCUCCUACCUCUAACACUUAUGCCAAGAUGUCCUACAAUGUGAAUAGUGGUUAAGUGUGGACUUGGUACCAUUUCCUUUUUUGGUAUAUGAGAAUCUUCUUUUACUAGGCGUUUUGCAUCAGUUGAGGAUAAUUUGAACAAUCUUUUCAAAACAUCAAU
rnacentral:lncRNA from 1 species